rnacentral:rRNA from 1 species
AGCGAACGCUGGCGGCAGGCCUAACACAUGCAAGUCGAACGAACUCUUCGGAGUUAGUGGCGGACGGGUGAGUAACACGUGGGAACGUGCCUUUUGGUUCGGAAAAACUCAGGGAAACUUGUGCUAAUACCGAAUGUGCCCUUCGGGGGAAAGAUUUAUCGCCAUUAGAGCGGCCCGCGUCUGAUUAGCUAGUUGGUGAGGUAACGGCUCACCAAGGCGACGAUCAGUAGCUGGUCUGAGAGGAUGACCAGCCACACUGGGACUGAGACACGGCCCAGACUCCUACGGGAGGCAGCAGUGGGGAAUCUUGCGCAAUGGGCGAAAGCCUGACGCAGCCAUGCCGCGUGAAUGAUGAAGGUCUUAGGAUUGUAAAAUUCUUUCACCGGGGACGAUAAUGACGGUACCCGGAGAAGAAGCCCCGGCUAACUUCGUG